GCUUGCUUUGGUGGUGUUUGCAUACCUUGGACAGAUACAAAGAUGAUUAACAUGGCCGCUGCACAAGGAUCACAUGCACAUUUUUAUAUAAGAUAAUGACCUUC